rnacentral:rRNA from 1 species
AUACGGAGGAUCCGAGCGUUAUCCGGAUUUAUUGGGUUUAAAGGGUGCGCAGGCGGCCAUUUAAGUCAGCGGUUAAAUCGUGGGGCUCAACCCCAUUCUGCCGUUGAUACUGGGUGGCUUGAUUGCGGUCGAGGUUGGCGGAAUUCGUUGUGUAGCGGUGAAAUGCAUAGAUAUGACGAAGAACACCGAUUGCGUAGGCAGCUGACCAGACCGCAAAUGACGCUCAUGCACGAAAGUGCGGGGAUCGAACAGGAUUAGAUACCCUGGUAGUCCGCACAGUAAACGAUGAAUACCUGUUUUCGGCGAUAUAAUGUCGGAGGCAAAGCGAAAGCGAUAAGUAUUCCACCUGGGGAGUACGCCGGCAACGGUGAAACUCAAAUGAAUUGACGGGG